AUUCUACUCCCUCCGUUCCACAAUACAUGCCUUCUACUUUUUAAAAUAUAGAUAUAUCUAGACAUGUUUUAGUAUAUAGGUACAUCCAUUUUUGGACAAAUGGAAGUCAAGUAUUUUGGAACGGAGGGAGUACACA
rnacentral:pre_miRNA from 1 species